GAACAACUGGCUGUGAGUAAGAGGAAAAAUAAGUCACACGUCAGAGUCUACUGCCCUCAUGCAAUGGAAAGUGAGUGAGAGCAGCGAGCCUGUGAGCAUUGUUCAUGCCAGGCAAGAGCCAUUCAUUUGGGAGCCAAGCAGAUGCCACUGUCAGUGAGAGAAGUGUCUGUUUUGCUGAGGGUUCUGUUAACAGCCCAUCUGACUCCACGUACAGACACCCUGUUAGCUGGGGCUGGUUUGUCAGAAGAGUUUCCUGACUAGCUGGGGAUACAAGGGAGACAAGGUCCCCAUUUUCAGGGGCUUGUCAUUGCUCUGUUCACAAGCAGUGUGCCCUCCGCAGGAGAAGGUUGGAUCCAGGAGGAUGACUCCAGAUGUUUGAAGAGGAAUCGUCCAGGAGCCCUCGCCGGAGGAGAAUAUGCAGAAGUGGAUCUGAGAAGCCUGGACAU